rnacentral:rRNA from 1 species
GGCGAACGGGGGCAAAACGCGUGGAUAAUCUACCUACGAGAUGGGGAUAACAAUUCGAAAUAGUAGCUAAUACCGAAUAAGGUCAAUUGAGGUGUUAAUUGAUGAAAGGAAGCCUUUAAAGCUUCGCUUGUAGAUGAGUCUGCGUCUUAUUAGCUAGUUGGUGGGAUAAGAGCCUACCAAGGCUAUGAUAAGUAACCGGCCUGAGAGGGUGAUCGGUCACACUGGAACUGAGAUACGGUCCAGACUCCUACGGGAGGCAGCAGCUAAGAAUCUUCCGCAAUGGGCGAAAGCCUGACGGAGCGACACUGCGUGAACGAAGAAGGUCGAAAGAUUGUAAAGUUCUUUUAUAAGUGAGGAAUAAGCUUUGUAGGAAAUGACAAAGUGAUGACGUUAAUUUAUGAAUAAGCCCCGGCUAAUUACGUGCCAGCAGCCGCGGUAAUACGUAAGGGGCGAGCGUUGUUCGGGAUCAUUGGGCGUAAAGGGUGAGUAGGCGGAUAUGCAAGUCUAUGUGUAAAAUACCACAGCUCAACUGUGGAACUAUGCUGGAAACUGCAUGACUAGAGUCUGAUAGGGGAAGUUAGAAUUCCUGGUGUAAGGGUGGAAUCUGUUGAUAUCAGGAAGAAUACCAGAGGCGAAGGCGAACUUCUAGGUCAAGACUGACGCUGAGUCACGAAAGCGUAGGGAGCAAACAGGAUUAGAUACCCUGGUAGUCUACGCUGUAAACGAUGCACACUUGGUGUUAAUCGAAAGGUUAGUACCGAAGCUAACGUGUUAAGUGUGCCGCCUGGGGAGUAUGUUCGCAAGAAUGAAACUCAAAGGAAUUGACGGGGGCCCGCACAAGCGGUGGAGCAUGUGGUUUAAUUCGAUGAUACGCGAGGAACCUUACCAGGGCUUGACAUAUACAGGAUAUAGUUAGAGAUGACUAUUCCCCGUUUGGGGUCUGUAUACAGGUGCUGCAUGGUUGUCGUCAGCUCGUGCCGUGAGGUGUUGGGUUAAGUCCCGCAACGAGCGCAACCCUUAUUGUCUGUUACCAGCAUGUAAAGAUGGGGACUCAGACGAGACUGCCGGUGAUAAGCCGGAGGAAGGUGAGGAUGACGUCAAAUCAUCAUGGCCCUUAUGUCCUGGGCUACACACGUGCUACAAUGGCCUGUACAAAGCGAUGCGAAACAGUGAUGUGAAGCAAAACGCAGAAAGCAGGUCUCAGUCCAGAUUGAAGUCUGAAACUCGGCUUCGUGAAUGAAGUUGGAAUCGCUAGUAAUCGUAUGAUACAGAAUGAUACGGUGAAUACGUUCUCGGGCCUUGUACACACCGCCCGUCACACCACCC